UUCUCUAUUCUUGUCUUGUUGUGUUGUUUCAUUAAGUUGAUCUUCGACCUCUGAUACCCUUUCUUCUGCUUGAUCCAUUCGGCUGUUUAAGCUUGUACAUGUUUCACUAAGUUCUCGUGUUGUAUUUUUCAACUCCAUAAGUUCAUUUGUAUUCCUCUCUAUAUUGUCUAUUCUUUUCAACAUUUCAUCUAACCUUUUUUCCAAGUUCUUAGUUUCUUUACAUUGGGUUAGAACAAGUUCCUUUAACUCCCAGAAGUUUCUUAUCAUCCACCUUUUAAAGCCUACUUCAGAUAAUGGAACACAGUCCUUUUCCAUCAGGGCUUGUUCCGUUACUGAUGAGUCCUUUUCCAUCAGGGCUUGUUCGGUUGCUGAUGAGUCCUUUUCCAUCAGGGCUUGUUCCGUUGCUGGUGGGUUCUGAUUUUGAGUAUACUCGGCCUUCUUAGGCUGUUUUUUUCCCUUCAUUGUAGAUGAACCGCCUUUCUAAUUAGUUUUCUGAGUCGACGUCCGACUUAUUGAUUCCCAGUGUUGGGAUCCGAGCAACCCACUGUGGCAGCCUAAAUAGCAGCGGUAAGACUGAUGGUGCUCUUCUGCCCGGGAAUCUCUGGUCUGGCUUCCCUCUUGAGUCCGCAACAAGCGGCUCUGACUUCCCGGAGCUCCAAACUCCCGUCAGUAGGGGAAGCAGUCCCGUUGGCUCUGCGUGAAGAGCUGCUGCGCCGAGACGCCGGCAAAACCGCUGCGGCGGCCACAAGAGUCGCGCUGGCGACCCGUGGGGCUCCUCCACUGGGAAUCGGCUGAUCGGUGAGUGACGAAAAUUCGUCUAAAAGUGUGGCGUCGUCUCGUUCUCUGGGCUUUCACUGGGAGCUACAAUCCUGAGCUGUUAGUGGUCGGCCAUCUUGGAUCGAUCUCGCUUGUAUUCAUUCUCUCCGUCGCAUUCAGGUACACCUAUCAAACGUAAAUUUGGUCUUUUCACAUAGUCCCACAUUUCUUGGAGACUUUGCUCAUUCCUUUUUAUCCUUUUUUCUCUAAUCUUUUCUUCACGUUUUAUUUCAUUAAGUUGGAUUUUGACCUCUGAUAUCCCUUCUUCUGCUUGAACAAUUCAAGUGUUUAAACCUGUGCAUACUUCUCGGAGUUCCUGUAUUGUAUUCUUCAGUUCCAUUAAUUCACUCAUACUCCUCUCUAAGUUGUCUAUUCUCAAUAGGAUUUCAUCAAACCUUUUUUCAAAGUUCCUAGUUUCUUUACGUUGGGCUACAACAUGUUCUUUUAACUCACAAAAGUUUCUUAUUAUCCAUUCCCUGAAGAGUGAUUCUGUCAUCAGGAGGCGCUCGUUCUCCAUCAAGCCUUGUUCCAUUGUUGAUGUGGAACUGUGAUCAUCUUUAGAGGGAGAGGCGUUCUGACUUUGAGUAUUCUCAGCUUUUUUACGCUGGUUUCUUCCCGUCAUUGUAAAUUUAUCCUCCUGUCGUCUUUGAAAUUACCAACUUUCAGAUUAGGUCUCUUGAGUGGACGUCCAAGUUGUUAGUUCCCAGGGCCAGAGCAGCGGCGUUAAAACUGAUGGUGCUUUUCUGCCCAGGAUUCUCCUGUCUGGCUUCCUUCUUGUGUCCGUAAUGGGCAACUCUCGCCUCUUGAUUCUUUUGAGUCUAUGAAGGAGGAAAUGUCUUGAUCAUCUUUGUUGGAAUUUAUUUCCCUUUACCUGGCUGCAUUUUUAUAGAUCAAUUAAACUCUCAUUCCCUACCUCACCUUUGAAGACUUGGAUACAUUUUUCUCAUUGCAUUUUCCACCUCCACCCUUGCUCAUGGCCAUCAACUGUCAGAACCUAAGCUUUCCCUGGCCCCAUGGGACCUAAUCUGGGUAGGAGCCCAUUGCUGAUAACCUGUAUCCAGAUAAUUGUCAGAUGUGACUAGAGUGCCCAGGACAGGGGAUGUUUUCCUGGUCAGUGACAAGGUGACCCUUGUUCUUUUGUGCAUUUGAUCCACAUCUUUCACCAUUGUGUCCAGAGCUCCUGCUUCCUGUCAGAGGGAGGCUCCUCAGGGACAGCGCAUCCCUCCCAGGAGCCCAGGCUGCAGUCAUCUCCACUGUGAGGCCUUCAGCCUCUGGCACAAAAGUGCCACAGAGCUCAGAGGCUGCUUUCUAGAGAGGUUUCAUUUGCACAAAACUGUCUUGGUAUGUGGAUUGGUCUGAAUUGCAUUUUGAAUUUAUUUUGUCCUCCAAUACUUGUAAAUCCAGUGUUUGUAAAUACUGUGUAUGCCUAGUGUAGUGGUGGCCUACAUUCCAGAAAGUUUGUAUUGCUUUCCAUGUGGAUUUCCAAGCUUGCUCCUGAGUGCAUAAUAUUCAAUGCUCCAAAAUAUGAAUGUUCACUACUGCUGAAACGGGACACUUCAUGUCAGAUUUUCAAAGUCCAGAAAGAUUUGCAUAACAUAGUCUUCUUGGAAUUAUGAUUAAAACUGUGAGAAUUGAGGUCAGUUAAAAACACAAUACCGGGCCAGGCGCGGUGGCUCACGCCUGUAAUCCCAGCACUUUGGGAGGCCGAGGCGGGUGGAUCACAAGGUCAAGAGAUCGUGAGUAGCUGUAAUCCCAGCUACUCAGGAGGCUGAGACAGGUGAAUUGUCUGAACCCAGGAGGCGGAGGUUGCGGUGAGCAGAGAUCGCGCCAUGCCCUAGGCACUCUUUGGUGUCUUUCUGAUUCUGUUCAACACGGUUCUGAAAUCAUUCCCAUUGUUGGACCGAUCUCUAACUCAGUCCUUUCCAUUUUGGACUCUGUGUAUGCUCAGUCCACCCUGUUGAAUACCUAUCUCUGUUUCAUUCAUCAUCUUGAAAGAAACACUUAAAAUUAAGAUAUUUUCAAGAGCAUACAGUUCAGUCCUGAGGAAUCGAUGCAGCAAUGUUCUCAGAAGCCGUCUGAACUUACUCAGGGCAAGUCUUUGUCUUCAUUCACAUAAGAGUCUAAUGGAAUUAAUAUCAACAAUCUUAGCUAUUCAUGCCAUGCUCAUGACCCCUACUUGGGUAUUUUUAUGCUUAUUUCUGAAUGAAGUCAUCUCUUUAUUAUAGUUUUUUGACUAAUCCUGUUUUUUUUGUUUGUUUGGUUUUUCUGAGAUGGAAUCUUGCUCUGUCACCAGGCUGGAGUGCAGUGGCGCCAUCUCAGCUCACUGCAACCUCUGAUUCUCUGGUUUAAGCGAUUCUCCUGCCUCAGCCUCCUGAAUAGCUGAGACUACAGGCACAUGCCACCACACCCAGCUAAUUUGUGUAUUUUUAGUAGAGAUGGGGUUUCACCAUGUUGGCCAGGAUGGUCUUGAUCUCCUGACCUUGUGAUUCACCCACCUUGGCCUCCCAAAGUGCUAGGAUUACAGGCGUGAGCCACCACACCUGGCAACUUAUGCUGAUCUUUAAAUGGCAGAGAUUCAUGUAAUCUAAGAAAGAAAUGUGAGUGAUUCACAGGGAUUUUUUUUAUCAUGGGUCACCUAAUAAAUACUUCCAAUGUUAUAUGUCAAUUUAAAAAGUAAGUAACUUUUAAAAAAUGAUAAUUAUUUUAUACCUAGUUUGUCCAACCCACAGGUGACAGGCCGCAUGCAGCCCAGGACAGCUUAGAAUGUGGCCCAACAUAAAUUUGUAAACUUUCUCAAAACAUUGUGAUUUUUUUUUGUAAUUUUUUUUUUAGCUCAUCAGCUAUUUUUAGUGUUAAUGUAUUUUAUGUGUGGCGCAAGAUAAUUCUCCUUCUUUUAGGAUAGCCUAGGGAAGCCAAAAGACUGAACAUCCCUGCAUUAGAGAAAAGACACCCCACAUUCACAAUGCUUAAAAACACUACCAACCAGGUGUAGUGGCUCACACCUGUAAUCCAAGUACUUUGGAGGCCAAGGUGGGCAGAUCAUCUGUGGUCGGAAGUUCAAGACCAGCCUGACCAAUAUGGUGAAACCCCACCUUUAUUUAUAAAAUUUUUAAAAUGCACAAAAAUAAAAAUAAACAAAUAAAUAAUAAAAAACACUGCCAGCCAUGCAAGAACCAUGAGACUGUUAACUUCCAGUCCUUCUUGAAGCAGUGGGAUCCCCUGGUGAUAGCUGAGGGGUGUGGUUACCUCUUGGAGAAGGUUGAGGGUUUCUAAGGAUAAUUCCUUGUGACCGAAACAUGGUAAAUGUCAUUGAGCCUCUCAUUAUUCCAUCUGUUAUUAUUCCAGGUCAACCAUGUCCUGCCUGAAAGUUUGCAUCCAGGGCCUGGCUCUUCUGAAAUUCCCUAGAUGCUUAUUAUAAUUGCUGUUUCCCUGGGAAUUUGCUCCCUUGCUAUUUUGUCAUGGAUACCUAGCCUUGGGGUGAGCAUAUCACUUCCUAUAGAGGUCCACUUGUAACCAUAAAGAAGAAGAAAUUAUUUAGAACAAUUCGUGCUUGUGAACUUUAUUAUGAAUAUUGAAUUUUACCAAAAAGCAAAUCAGGGAAAUGAUUUAUUACCCUAAGAAUAAUGAAAAUAUCUACCAUUUACAGAAUGAAAAUUAAGUAGGUUCAUGUUUGUUUAAUAGGAUGUCAAUAGCGCUUUUGGUCAAAAAUAGGUUUUUUACCUUUGUGCUGUUUUAUUAGGAAUGAAGAAAGGGUAAAUGCUGGAGUCCUUUUCACUCUGCCUAUUACAGGACACUUUAGUCUUUUCCCACAGCGCCCUCUCCUGGCUUGGCCUCUGCUCUUCGGGUUCUGGGUGCCUUUUCUGUCUGGCCUUUUUCAAAGCAAAAUCUUCCCCAUGAGCUUCCAGGCUUCUCCAUUCCCAGCUGGUCAUCUUUGUUGGCGCCGCCAGAAGCCGUGAAUGCUUAUGAGCUGAGGACUGAAGGGCUUCCACUGGUCUGUUUGCAGAAAUAACACGAGGCGAUGCCACUGAGCUCCACUGCUGGAGGUCUCAUGGCCCAGGGAAUCCUGACUGAUCCAUUUGACUCCAAAUAUUGUGGGGUCCUGUUUCCAAAAUAUGUAGGGUUUUGUUUUGUGCUGUGAUUUUAUUUCUCUUCUUCUAUAAGGUAGAUGAUUAGCAUUCAGAAUAUCUGCUGUAAUCCCAGAAGUGGAAAAAAAGUCAAAACUCAUUAAUCCAACAUAAUUAGUAUAUGCUGUGUGCCACUUUGAAUACUCUCGGACAAAGUCCGUGCCAUAAUUCAUCAUCGUCCCAUCUGUGUUGUGCAGAAUUGCUCCCACUCCCACCCAGUGGCAGCCUAGAUCUCACGUUCUAGGUAUAAGAGGUUCCGCAUUUGUAAUAGAGAAUGCACCCUGGCUGUGAGGAAGUGAAGAGUGAACGUCACUCAUUACCUACAAGGACAAUUCCCAAUGACGACCCUCAAUGAUGCUCAGUCAAGCUGGUUCUCGGACUCGAUAGUUUUGAAAGCUGCUGAGUCCUCUGAUCACACAUGAUGGGACUUGUACACCUACAAUCAAACACAUUUUUAAAAUGUCUGUUGUUUAGAAUUCCCACCUCAUUUUUCCGUGGAAAAAAAUUUAUUUUUGGCCGGGCGCAGUGGCUCACGCCUAUAAUCCCAGCACUUUGGGAGGCCAAGGCAGGUGGAUCAUGGGGUCAAGAGAUCGAGACCAUCCCGGUCAACAAGGUGAAACACCGUCUCUACUAAAAAUACAAAAAUUAGCUGGGCAUGGUGGCACGCGCCUGUAGUCCCAGCUACUCGGGAGGCUGAGGCAGGAGAAUUGCUUGAACCCAGGAGGCGGAGGUUGCGGUGAGCCGAGAUCGCACCAUUGCACUCCAGCCUGGGUAACAAGAGUGAAACUCUGUCUCAAAAAAAAAAAAAUUUAUUUUUUGUGUCAUAGUGCACUUAAAAGUGGGUAUUACCUUGAACUUGAAAUAUGAUCACUGUGCCAAACUAACAUCUGUAUGUAGGAUUGUUCUGUCAGAAAACCCUCUCCCGAUUCCCCUGCAGGUCUUCAGGAAUCCACAUCUCCCCAGAGAUCUUUGUGCCCACAGGUGGCACCUCCAGAAUGGAGAAGAGCCUUUGUCAAAAAGGGAAGCAGAAUGGGGAUGAGAGGUCCUGCAGGCACAGCUGGAAUCGACCUCCACUCCGCCUCUUGCAAGCUGUGUGACCCUGGGUCAACAUGGCUGAACAGGAGCCUCAUCCUCUGUCAGAAUGGCCCAACCUACCCUACCUCAUGGCUGGCCCUUCCAGACCACUGAUGGGCUGCCGGGCACCUCCUCCACCUCCCGGUCCUCUGGGACCUCAAUCACUCUCUGCAACUGAGCCUUCUCUAGAACCUCUGAUACCUCCUCCACUGGAACAACCUCUGGAGCCUGAAACACCUUCUCCAGCUGAAGGUUUCCUGAGACGUCAGACACCUCAGCCACGUGAGUUUCCCAAGGGACCUCAGCAACAUACUCCAUUCGAGUGUCCCCUGGACCCGCAAUCACCUCCUGACCUUGAGUGUCCCCUGGAAUUUUAACAACCUCCAAUACUACAGUGUCCACUGGGACCUCAACCACCUCCUCAACGUGAGUGUCCCCUGGAAGUUCAACAACCUCCAAUACUACAGUGUCCACUGGGACCUCAACCACCUCCUCAACGUGAGUGUCCCCUGGAAGUUCAACAACCUCCUAUAAUACAGUGUCCACUUGGAGUCAACCACCUCCUGAACGUGAGUGUCCCCUGGAAGUUCAACAACCUCCAAUACUACAGUGUCCACUGGGAGUCAACCACCUCCUGAAUGUGAGUGUCCCCUGGAAGUUCAACAACCUCCAAUACUACAGUGUCCACUGGGACCUCAACCACCUCCUGAACGUGAGUGUCCCCUGGAAGUUCAACAACCUCCAAUACUACAGUGUCCACUGGGAGUCAACCACCUCCUGAAUGUGAGUGUCCCCUGGAAGUUCAACAACCUCCAAUACUACAGUGUCCACUGGGACCUCAACCACCUCCUCAACGUGAGUGUCCCCUGGAAAUUCAACAACCUCCAAUACUACAGUGUCCACUGGGACCUCAACCACCUCCUGAAUGUGAGUGUCCCCUGGAAAUUCAACAACCUCCAAUACUACAGUGUCCACUGGGACCUCAACCACCUUCUCAACGUGAGUGUCCCCUGGAAAUUCAACAACCUCCAAUACUACAGUGUCCACUGGGACCUCAACCACCUUCUCAACGUGAGUGUCCCCUGGAAAUUCAACAACCUCCAAUACUACAGUGUCCACUGGGACCUCAACCACCUCCUCAACGUGAGUGUCCCCUGGAAUUUUAACAACCUCCUAUAAUACAGUGUCCACUGGGAGUCAACCACCUCCUGAAUGUGAGUGUCCCCUGGAAGUUCAACAACCUCCUAUAAUACAGUGUCCACUGGGACCUCAACCACCUCCUCAACGUGAGUGUCCCCUGGAAUUUUAACAACCUCCUAUAAUACAGUGUCCACUGGGAGUCAACCACCUCCUGAAUGUGAGUGUCCCCUGGAAGUUCAACAACCUCCAAUACUACAGUGUCCACUGGGACCUCAACCACCUCCUCAACGUGAGUGUCCCCUGGAAAUUCAACAACCUCCAAUACUACAGUGUCCACUGGGAGUCAACCACCUCCUCAAUGUGAGUGUCCCCUGGAAGUUCAACAACCUCCAAUACUACAGUGUCCACUGGGACCUCAACCACCUCCUCAACGUGAGUGUCCCCUGGAAAUUCAACAACCUCCAAUACUACAGUGUCCACUGGGAGUCAACCACCUCCUCAACGUGAGUGUCCCCUGGAAGUUCAACAACCUCCAAUACUACAGUGUCCACUGGGACCUCAACCACCUCCUCAACGUGAGUGUCCCCUGGAAAUUCAACAACCUCCAAUACUACAGUGUCCACUGGGACCUCAACCACCUCCUCAAUGUGAGUGUCCCCUGGAAAUUCAACAACCUCCAAUACUACAGUGUCCACUGGGACCUCAACCACCUCCUGAAUGUGAGUGUCCCCUGGAAUUUUAACAACCUCCUAUAAUACAGUGUCCACUGGGACCUCAACCACCUUCUGAAUGUGAGUGUCCCCUGGAAUUUUAACAACCUCCAAUACUACAGUGUCCACUGGGACCUCAACCACCUCCUCAACGUGAGUGUCCCCUGGAAAUUCAACAACCUCCAAUACUACAGUGUCCACUGGGACCUCAACCACCUCCUCAACGUGAGUGUCCCCUGGAAAUUCAACAACCUCCAAUACUACAGUGUCCACUGGGACCUCAACCACCUUCUCAAUGUGAGUGUCCCCUGGAAUUUUAACAACCUCCAAUACUACAGUGUCCACUGGGACCUCAACCACCUUCUCAACGUGAGUGUCCCCUGGAAAUUCAACAACCUCCAAUACUACAGUGUCCACUGGGACCUCAACCACCUUCUCAACGUGAGUGUCCCCUGGAAGUUCAACAACCUCCAAUACUACAGUGUCCACUGGGACCUCAACCACCUUCUCAACGUGAGUGUCCCCUGGAAAUUCAACAACCUCCAAUACUACAGUGUCCACUGGGACCUCAACCACCUUCUGAAUGUGAGUGUCCCCUGGAAGUUCAACAACCUCCUAUAAUACAGUGUCCACUGGGACCUCAACCACCUCCUGAACGUGAGUGUCCCCGGAAGUUCAACAACCUCCUAUAAUACAGUGUCCACUGGGACCUCAACCACCUCCUGAAUGUGAAUGUCCCCUGGAAGUUCAUCAACCUCCUGUAGAAGAGUGCUCACUGGGACCUCCACCACCUCUUGAACGUGAGUGUCCACUGGAACUUCAACAACCUCCUGAAGCUGUCUCUUUUCUGGGACCUCAUCCUCCUCCUGCAGGUGUCUGUCCUGCAGCACUUCCUCAGCCUACUGCCGCUGUCUGUCCCCCAGGACCUCAUCUUCCACCUGCAGGCAUCUCUCCUCCCGGACCUCAUGCACCUCCUGCAGGCAUCUGUGUGCCAGGACCACAUGCACCUCCUGCAGGCUCCCGUCCUCUGGGACCUCAUUUUUCUCCUGCAGGUGUCUGUCCUGCAACGCCUCAUCAACCUACUGCAGCUUCUUGUCCCCAGGGACCUCAUCUACCUGCUACAGGUGUCUGUCCCCUGGGACCUCAUCUACCUGCUACAGGUGUCUCUCCUCUGGGAUCUCAGUGAUUUUUCUCCUGCUCUGUGGCCUGUGGGACCUCAGCCUGCUCCUCCACUCAGCAGUCUGUUUGGCCUCAGCCACCUCCUCUACUGGGUGGCCUCUGGCCCCUCAACUACCACCUCUACAUGAGUCACCUCGGGUACUUCAAUAGUCUCCACUCACGGCCUCCGGGACUUCAGCCACCUUCUCCCGGGGCUCCUCUAGUAUAUCAGCCAUCUCCUCUACUUGGCUGGCCUCUGCCCUCUCAACCAAGUCCGUCACCUCAGUGUCCUCUGGGACCUCGGCCACCUCCUAUACCCAUGUGUCCUCCGGGACCUCGACCACCACCUCCACAUGCAGCACUUGGACAAUUUUGAAAUUAGAAGACUCGCCUGAGCCAUGAUAUCUUGGAAAAGUUUCCAACAUGUUUUACCCUCCACACCUGGUGCUGCCUCCUCCCCCUGUCAUUUCCAUAAUGUCUCCCUUAGGCGUCUGCUUCCUGGAGGACCGGCUCACACCCCAGGGCGUGCCAGAAUGGAAAUCGGCAGAAUGGCUACAGAGACCGCUUUGCACAUCAGGAGAUCCAUAGAGAGGCCUCUCUGGAAGCUGCCAUCUCUUCUGAAGGAUCCUGCCUUCCCAGCCUGACGGGCCUCCUCCAGCAGAUGCACUCUCUCCACACAAAGUGUCUGCCAGCCUCCAGCCUCCAGCCUCCACUUGAAUGGAGGCAGUUACCCCAGUGAAUUAUUUCCUCUUAGCUGGAAUAACAGACUGAAGGAAGAGGCCCUCGCCACACUGUGGAUGACCUGCCUGUGUGAUUGCUGGGGCUGGAGGCUCCAAUCACAGGCGCUUCGUCCUCAUUACACACCUGUAGCUUCAUGUUGGUUAUGAACAACUUUUCUUUGUUGGAUGCAUUUUGAAAUUUUUCAUCUAAGGGGUGACUGAAAAUGUUUAGUCCCAUAAAUAUCAACAAUAUGGUAAGCAUAUGGGAGAGUGCACCCACAUGUCAAUUCUGAAAUAAUUACAGGAUUUACAUAUUUGAGGAAAAUCUCAUAGCUCUAAUUACGAAGAAUUCACAUGGAGGCAGGUAUCUUCAUGCAGGCACAUAUUAAGAACAAACAA